rnacentral:misc_RNA from 1 species
GAUGAAGAACGUAGCGAAAUGCGAUACUUGGUGUGAAUUGCAGAAUCCCGUGAACCAUCGAGUCUUUGAACGCAAGUUGCGCCCGAAGCCAUUAGGCCGAGGGCACGCCUGCCUGGGUGUCACACACCGUUACCCUCGCGCCAACGUCCAUCGUUGGCCGCGGCGCGGGGCGUGCGCUGACCUCCCGCGAGCGGGGUCUCGUGGUUGGUUGAAAAUCGAGUUCGCGGUCGAGGGUGCCGUGAUGAAAUGGUGGAUGGGCGACGCCCGAGGCCAAUCACGCGCGACUCUGUCGGCUCGGACUCCUGGACCCCUUCGGCGUCUCCGGACGCUCUUUGGCGAGACCUCAGGUCAGGCGGGGCUACCCGCUGAGUUUAAGCAUAUCAAUAAGCGGAGGA